AACAAAUUUUAUUCAUUCUUCUUUUCAGUGUUGUGAUUAGUGGUGUAAAAAAAUGAAACUUAUCACUUUCGUGAAGCUGAUGACAGUGGCUUUAGUUUUUGCCACAGUUUUUCAUAUGACCUAUGCAAAAUGUAUACCCAAGAAAAAAGGUGAUAGAUGUCCAGUAGAUGGAUGGUUGCAAUGAUUUCCCACCAUCAUUUACUAAUCAAAAUAUACACAUUAAUUUAGUGCUAGUAGGAGGCAGGGCUGUAGUUAGAAAAUUGCAGAAGGGGUGACUGAUUUUCCUGUCAGGACAUUUAUCUUCCCGAUGGGGUAAAUAUCUUGCUAGUCAGGGCAAAGCCAUAACGACCUACUCUACUUCUCUCAACCUACGGCCCUUGUAUGACGACUAUAACUGAAAAUAAAUAUGUAUUUUGCUACAAUGUUCUCACAAUGAAAGAAUAAAUAUAUUAAAAGUA